AUUGAACGCUGGCGGCAUGCCUUACACAUGCAAGUCGAACGGUAACAGGUCUUCGGAUGCUGACGAGUGGCGAACGGGUGAGUAAUACAUCGGAACGUGCCUAGUAGUGGGGAAUAACUACUCGAAAGAGUGGCUAAUACCGCAUGAGAUCAACGGAUGAAAGCAGGGGAUCGCAAGACCUUGUGCUACUAUAGCGGCCGAUGGCAGAUUAGGUAGUUGGUGGGAUAAAAGCUUACGAAGCCGACGAUCUGUAGCUGGUCUGAGAGGACGAUCAGCCACACUGGGACUGAGACACGGCCCAGACUCCUACGGGAGGCAGCAGUGGGGAAUUUUGGACAAUGGGCGCAAGCCUGAUCCAGCAAUGCCGCGUGCAGGAUGAAGGCCUUCGGGUUGUAAACUGCUUUUGUACGGAACGAAAAGCCCCGGGUUAAUACCCUGGGGUCAUGACGGUACCGUAAGAAUAAGCACCGGCUAACUACGUGCCAGCAGCCGCGGUAA
rnacentral:rRNA from 1 species